AUACGGGGGUGCAAGCGUUGUUCGGAUUUACUGGGCGUAAAGGGCUCGUAGGCGGCCAUUUAAGUCGGAUGUGAAAGCCCUGGGCUCAACCUGGGAAUUGCACUCGAUACUGCAGAGCUAGAGUAUGGUAGAGGGAAGUGGAAUUUCCGGUGUAGCGGUGAAAUGCGUAGAUAUCGGAAGGAACACCAGUGGCGAAGGCGACUUCCUGGGCCAAUACUGACGCUAAGGAGCGAAAGCGUGGGGAGCAAACGGGAUUAGAUACCCCAGUAGUCC
rnacentral:rRNA from 1 species